GAUGAAGAACGCAGCAAAAUGCGAUAAGUAAUGUGAAUUGCAGAAUUCAGUGAAUCAUCGAAUCUUUGAACGCACAUUGCGCCCGCUGGUAUUCCGGCGGGCAUGCCUGUUCGAGCGUCAUUUCAACCCUCAAGCCCCCGGGUUUGGUGUUGGGGAUCGGCUCUGCCCUUCUGGGCGGUGCCGCCCCCGAAAUACAUUGGCGGUCUCGCUGCAGCCUCCAUUGCGUAGUAGCUAACACCUCGCAACUGGAACGCGGCGCGGCCAUGCCGUAAAACCCCGACUUCUGAAUGUUGACCUCGGAUCAGGUAGGAAUACCCGCUGAACUUAAGCAUAUCAAUAAGCGGAGGA
rnacentral:misc_RNA from 1 species